UUUUUUUUUAAGAUUUUAUUUAUUUAUUUGACAGAGAGAGAGAUCACAAGUAGGCAGAGAGGCACUCAGAGAGAGACGGAGAAGCAGGUUCCCCGCUGAGCAGAGAGCCCAUGUAGGACUCGAUUCCAGGACCCUGGGAUCACGACCUGAGCCCAAGGCAGAGGCUUAACCAACUGAGCCACCCAGGCGCCCAUCAAAGAAUUUUCUUACCACAUGCCCCUCUGCUCUGAGGCCAACACCAGGAUGGGUUUGCAAGACUCUGCAGGUCACUACAGGAGACAGAGAUGCAGAUGUCUUCUUCUGAAAGAAUUCACCUCUACAGACUGAAGGCUGCUUGCUGGAAACAUCCGCGAAUUCUCUGAGAAGACCCAAGGAAAGACCAGAAGUGUUUGCAAGUGAAUCCUAGGGGAGCAUUUCUCAGCCACCGACCGUGUGGAGAUGCUGAGGGACACUCCAGCUCCUCAUCCUUCGGCUUCUGUGUUCCACGCUGACUCUGCGUGGGCCACAGCAGAGUGCGCUCCAGAUACCCACCAUGGCAAACUGGCUGAUAAUACUGGCUUUACCUUCUUCCUGUCUUUCUACUCAUGUGUUCUGGGUUUGCCCUCAAAUAAGCUGCUUGUGCUCAGAUCCUUGUCAGGGAGCUCACCCUGAGACACAUUUACUGCCCUUGCUCAUUGACAGUCAACACUAGCUGGUGCUCACUGGAGAUGCCCCGGGGAAUCUGCAGGGAUCCGUCAUGCUCCUGCCUGCUUCCAGGUUGGAUUUGAAACCUAAGGUCUCCAAGAAUAUCAGUAUCAAUCAGCCGCACGCUGAGAGUUACUCCUUCACCUGCUGGCCGUUAAGGAGCUCCCUGACCAAGUGGUGACUGCAACCUUCAGUUUUGUGGAGUUCUUACUGAUGUCUCCCUCCCCUGCAAAGAGCCAGUACCUCUGACCUUUCAGAUUCCAGAUUUGGGGGCUAAGUUCCACAAGUAGGACAUUGAGUAUGAUCAUGGAAGGGGCUGCUUUUGAUUCCACUCCUUGCUUACUGGAGUGGACUGUUUUUCUUGUCAUCAGAGACUAAAAUAUGUUGGCUGUUGGCUAAGUUCUAGCCAUUGAAAACCAGACUGUAACUUGAUUCAAUGCAUAUGCUGCAUUCUUGAGAUGAGUUCCCUAACUUCACAUGUGCUGAACUCCGUUUGGCAGAUCAGCCAAGCUUUGACAAGCUGCCCCGUUCAAUCAGAUUGGCCGCUUUGGUUGAUGGUUCCAUAGUAAGACCAAGGAAUCCUGUGGCCACAAGCCCACUAACACAGCACCAUUGCUAUAAAUGAGUUCCUUAUUCGGAGGAUGGUUGGGAAGAUGAAAUGAGUUCCUCAAAUAAAGAGAAGUGUACCUGACCCAGAGUAUCCUUUGUAGGACUAAGUGGCCAUCUGGAGGAAGAUCUCUAGGGAAGGAAGAGGAACAAAUAUUCUCUGUUCCACAGAAUUCUGUGGGAGAAAUAAAUCCUUAAUUUAGGCCAAAGAAGUGCAACUAAAAUAGAGGUGACCUAGCUUCGUGUUGAGUGUUUAUUUUAUACCAGUCCCAACACCGUAUUGGAAAAGACCCGCUAAGAGUUUGCACUCCUAGUCUUUUAGAAAUGAUGAAGAAAAGAUGCUUUUAGCAUCCGGAAGUGGAAGCAGCCGGAAAUGAAAAUGUUAUGUUGUCUCAAAAGUAAACUCUUUCAGGGCGAGGCCCCUCAGGCAAGUUAAUCUUCCACAGUUCAGUCUCCUUCCUUGCUCCUGAAAACAUCAGUGAGCCCUGUCGAAUCAUUUCGUUUGUGUGUGUGUGUGUGUGUGUGUGUGUGUUUGACAAAUCUUUUGUUUAAAGAAAAUCAUAGUAGAAUAGGAUAGAUACAGAGAGUAUAGGGAAGCAACGAAUACCGUAGCAAAAUGUUGACUGCAAGUGUUUCUACAUUUUCAGAACGAUGUCAGAAUUCCUCCCGGAAGCAGGAAUAUUCUUUUGUUGGGGGCAACGAUGAAUAGGUUAUGGGAAGGCAGGGCCCAAACAGGGCCUGAAGGGAAGAAGUGGGGAUGGGGAGGAUCGUAACGAAGCGAAGGGGUAGUUUUCUUGGUUUGAGGCAACUCAGAAUGGAAUUAACCGAUUUUUCAGCUUCCUGGGGUGACAGAUGUGGGGUGGAAAAAGCCAAAGGCCUGGCAAUGAAUGGGUUUCUGAGGCUGAAGCCUCCCCACCCCCACCCCAACAUCAGGGGCAGUAGCAUUGCUUUGGAGUUUUGUUUUCCCUUUGCAAGAUAAUCCCUUAGGAAAUCCUCAGACUUCACUAAAGCCGAAUUAUUUAUUUAUUUAUUUCUUAAAGAUUUUAUUUAUUUAUUUGACAGGUGAGAGACAGUGAGACAGGGAGCACAGGCAGGGGGAGUGGGAGAGGGAGAAACAGGCUCUGCAUUGAGCAAGGAGCUGGAUGCGGGUCUCGAUCCCAGCUGGGAUCAUGACCUGAGCUGAAGACAGAUGCUUAACGACUGAGGCACCCAGGUGCCCCGUGCUGCUUGAUUCAAUAAUCUAAUGCCUGUCUUGUUUGCAGGCUGCCUUGGGAAAUGCAGGCUGCCUAUUGUGCCCCCUCCACCUCAACCCCUAGCCUCAAAUGGAUGGGCUGCUUAUGGAGAAGACAACCCUUGGAGAAGCAGGAGAACUACCUAUCUAUAUCCAGGAGUGAUUAGGGAGAAAGGCAGAUGGUCAUUUGCAUUCUGAGGAGACUAGACUCUAUUAUGACAUGUAAGCACUCCCAGAGAAUCCCCAGAAAUAUUUGUAAAGUGACUAUUUUCCUGUUCACAGGAUUGAAGCUUUGGUCUAAUUUGUUUGUAUAUUAAGAAAAGGGCAUGCUUAAAGGGCUGGUUAAUUUGGAAACACUCAGAUUCCAUAGGAAACGGAUAAAAGCAGAGAUGCUCUGGCCAGAGAGAGACUCUUGGCUUCCAUGAAGGGGUUCUCUGAGCCCACAGGAUAUUAGCACUGUAUUUUGCAGAUGAUCAAUAAAGGUUGGCUGGAUGAAAGAUUAAACAAAUGAAUGAUCUGUGAUCAACCACGUAAGGUCCUCUGUUUAAAGACAAGGACUGAAAGAUUUGUCAGAGCCAAAAUAACUGAGAAAAUGAAGUAUUUGGACAACUGUGCCAUUAGACAAGUUGUUUGGGUACAAAGAAAAAAAUUUUUCCAGAUAAUGCCAAAAUGAUCAUCUCAUUUCAGCAUUAUGAAAAUACAUCCAGCUGGCUAUGUUAUCCAGAAAAGCGAUCAAAUGGUCAUCUGGAUUAUUUGUCUUCAUACCAAGUAAGCAGGAUUUUAAAAACUUGUCAUCUCAUUUUUCAAUUAGCUGAGAAAAUGAGUUGUCUGCUUCAGUGUGUUAGCCUGAAUAAUAGAACUACGUUCUUUUAGGCAAAUUAUCUAUUAAGUCCACACAGUUAAGAAUUAUGUGUGCAUGUGUCUAUUUAUUAUGGGAACAAAAAAGGGACUGGAAUGGGUAAGAUAAUGUACAUCUAAAAAGUUAGAAGACAGAAUUGUAUGGGUGAGCUAGAGCUGUUCAUUUUCAUUUUAUGAUAAGUAAAAGAAAGCCUUGUUAGAGUUUAAAUUCAUGAGCAUUGGUUUUGGAAAGGAAAAUAAUAAAUAGUGAGUCUUAGAGGACAUAGGACAGUCUUAUAGGAUAUAGGACAGCUCAGGAGCCCUAGAUGUUACCCUCCUGGGGAAGAAUUCCUUCAUGGUGGGGUUGGGCUGAUCUACAGGACUCUGGGCAGUGUUUUGAUUGGUUUGGACCCUUGCCUCUAUGGUAUAAACCUAGAGAAUAAGAGAAGAAAUAAUUAGUUCUUUGAUCACUUAUCAGGACUCUAAAUAUCCUUCUCUCCAGAUCUAAGUUUUAAAACUUUUACUCAAUUCGCUAUUCAUUGACUUCCUACCAUAUGCCAGGCAUUGUGUUGGGCAUACACAUGGGGUAAAUCAGUGAACAAAGAGCAUAGUUUCUGCCUUCAUGGAGCAUAGAUUAGAAGGAUGUGAGCAGCAUGUGCAUACAUAAAUACAGACUAUGCUAUGAAGGAACAUGUGAUGUUCUAAAUACGUGAUGUACUGUGUGUAAAAGUUGGGGAUGUUGUGGGAUAGGGUGUGGUAGUCAGAGAAGUCUUUUUUGAAGACAUGACAAUUGACCUGAGAUCUUAAGGGUAACUGCCUUUAUUAUAAAGACUUUGCCAUAUGAUCAAGUAGUUCUCCUUCUGGGUAUAUAUCCAAAGGAAACAACAACAGGAUAUUGAAGAGAUAUCUGCACCCCUAUGUUCGCUGCAGCAUUAUUGACAAUAGCCAAGGUGGAUGCAACCUAAGUGUCCACUAAUGCAUGAAUGGAUGAAGAAUAAUGAUGUGUGUACAAUGGAAUCUUCAGCCACAAGAGAGGAGACCCUGCCUUUGUUUCAACAUGGAUGGAUCAUGAGGACAUUAUGCUAAGUGAGGGAAGUCAGACAGAGAAGGACAAGGACUGCAUGGUAUCACUUACAUAUGGAAUCUUGAGAAAAGAAAAGGUCAGAGUCAUAGAGUAGAAAAGUGGUUGGAUGGUGAGGGAAAUUGGGAGAGAUUGGUAAAAAGGUACCAACUUGCAGUUGUAAAUGAAUCAAGUCUGAGAUCUAAUGUCAAACAUGAUGACUAUAGUGAAUAGCACUGUAUUGUAUAAUUGAAAGUUCCUCAGAGAAUAGAGUUUAAAUGUUCUCACACAUACAAAAAAGAGAUAAAUCUGUGAGGUGAUAUGUUGAUUAACUAGAUGGUGGGAAUAUAUCCACAAUGUAUAUGGAUACCAAAUCAGCACAAUACAUGUCUAUAUAUCUUACAAUUGUAUGUCAAUAAAGUUUAAAAAAAAAA